UACGUAGGGUGCGAGCGUUGUCCGGAAUUACUGGGCGUAAAGCGAGUGUAGGCGGUUUGGUAAGUCGGAUGUGAAAGCCCCGGGCUCAACCCGGGAAGUGCACUCGAUACUGCCAAGCUAGAGUAUCGGAGAGGUUGGUGGAAUUCUCGGUGUAGAGGUGAAAUUCGUAGAUAUCGAGAGGAACACCGGUGGCGAAGGCGGCCAACUGGACGAAUACUGACGCUGAGACUCGAAAGCGUGGGGAGCAAACAGG
rnacentral:rRNA from 1 species